UACGUAGGGGGCAAGCGUUGUUCGGAAUUACUGGGCGUAAAGAGUGUGUAGGCGGUGCUCCAAGUCUGGUGUGAAAUCUCCCGGCUCAACUGGGAGGGUGCAUUAGAAACUGGAAUGCUAGAGGAUGAGAGAGGUAAGCGGAAUUCCUGGUGUAGCGGUGAAAUGCGUAGAUAUCAGGAGGAACACCUGUGGUGUAGACAGCUUACUGGACCAUUUCUGACGCUGAGACACGAAAGCGUGGGUAGCAAACAGG
rnacentral:rRNA from 1 species